rnacentral:rRNA from 1 species
CCUACGGGAGGCAGCAGUAGGGAAUCUUUCACAAUGGGCGAAAGCCUGAUGGAGCAACGCCGCGUGCAGGAUGAAGGCCUUCGGGUUGUAAACUGCUUUUAUAAGCGAGAAAUAUGAUGGUAACUUAUGAAUAAGGAUCGGCUAACUACGUGCCAGCAGCCGCGGUAAUACGUAGGUGGCAAGCGUUAUCCGGAUUUACUGGGUGUAAAGGGCGUGUAGGCGGGACUGCAAGUCAGAUGUGAAAACCACGGGCUCAACCUGUGGCCUGCAUUUGAAACUGUAGUUCUUGAGUACUGGAGAGGCAGACGGAAUUCCUAGUGUAGCGGUGAAAUGCGUAGAUAUUAGGAGGAACACCAGUGGCGAAGGCGGUCUGCUGGACAGCAACUGACGCUGAGGCGCGAAAGCGUGGGGAGCAAACAGGAUUAGAUACCCUUGUAGUC